GACGAACGCUGGCGGCGUGCUUAACACAUGCAAGUCGAACGGAAAGGCCCUGCUUUUGUGGGGUGCUCGAGUUGCGAACGGGUGAGUAACACGUGAGUAACCUGCCCUUGACUUUGGGAUAACUUCAGGAAACUUGGUCUAAUCCCGGAUAGGAGCUCCUGCUGCAUGGUGGGGGUUGGAAAGUUUCGGCGGUUGGGGAUGGACUCGCGGCUUAUCAGCUUGUUGGUGGGGUAGUGGCUUACCAAGGCUUUGACGGGUAGCCGGCCUGAGAGGGUGACCGGCCACAUUGGGACUGAGAUAAGGCCCAGACUACUACGGGAGGCAGAAGUGGGGAAUAUUGCACAAUGGGCGGAAGCAUGAUGCAGCAACGCAGCGUGCGGGAUGACGGCCUUCGGGUUGUAAACCGCUUUCGCCUGUGACGAAGCGUGAGUGACGGUAAUGGGUAAAGAAGCACCGGCUAACUACGUG
rnacentral:rRNA from 1 species